rnacentral:rRNA from 1 species
AGGCUUAACACAUGCAAGUCGAGGGGCAGCAUGGUCUUAGCUUGCUAAGGCCGAUGGCGACCGGCGCACGGGUGAGUAACACGUAUCCAACCUGCCGUCUACUCUUGGACAGCCUUCUGAAAGGAAGAUUAAUACAAGAUGGCAUCAUGAGUCCGCAUGUUCACAUGAUUAAAGGUAUUCCGGUAGACGAUGGGGAUGCGUUCCAUUAGAUAGUAGGCGGGGUAACGGCCCACCUAGUCUUCGAUGGAUAGGGGUUCUGAGAGGAAGGUCCCCCACAUUGGAACUGAGACACGGUCCAAACUCCUACGGGAGGCAGCAGUGAGGAAUAUUGGUCAAUGGGCGAGAGCCUGAACCAGCCAAGUAGCGUGAAGGAUGACUGCCCUAUGGGUUGUAAACUUCUUUUAUAAAGGAAUAAAGUCGGGUAUGGAUACCCGUUUGCAUGUACUUUAUGAAUAAGGAUCGGCUAACUCCGUGCCAGCAGCCGCGGUAAUACGGAGGAUCCGAGCGUUAUCCGGAUUUAUUGGGUUUAAAGGGAGCGUAGAUGGAUGUUUAAGUCAGUUGUGAAAGUUUGCGGCUCAACCGUAAAAUUGCAGUUGAUACUGGAUAUCUUGAGUGCAGUUGAGGUAGGCGGAAUUCGUGGUGUAGCGGUGAAAUGCUUAGAUAUCACGAAGAACUCCGAUUGCGAAGGCAGCCUGCUAAGCUGCAACUGACAUUGAGGCUCGAAAGUGUGGGUAUCAAACAGGAUUAGAUACCCUGGUAGUCCACACGGUAAACGAUGAAUACUCGCUGUUUGCGAUAUACAGCAAGCGGCCAAGCGAAAGCGUUAAGUAUUCCACCUGGGGAGUACGCCGGCAACGGUGAAACUCAAAGGAAUUGACGGGGGCCCGCACAAGCGGAGGAACAUGUGGUUUAAUUCGAUGAUACGCGAGGAACCUUACCCGGGCUUAAAUUGCAGAUGAAUUACGGUGAAAGCCGUAAGCCGCAAGGCAUCUGUGAAGGUGCUGCAUGGUUGUCGUCAGCUCGUGCCGUGAGGUGUCGGCUUAAGUGCCAUAACGAGCGCAACCCUUGUUGUCAGUUACUAACAGGUUCCGCUGAGGACUCUGACAAGACUGCCAUCGUAAGAUGUGAGGAAGGUGGGGAUGACGUCAAAUCAGCACGGCCCUUACGUCCGGGGCUACACACGUGUUACAAUGGGGGGUACAGAGGGCCGCUACCACGCGAGUGGAUGCCAAUCCCCAAAACCUCUCUCAGUUCGGACUGGAGUCUGCAACCCGACUCCACGAAGCUGGAUUCGCUAGUAAUCGCGCAUCAGCCACGGCGCGGUGAAUACGUUCCCGGGCCUUGUACACACCGCCCGUCAAGCCAUGGGAGCCGGGGGUACCUGAAGUGCGUAACCGCGAGGAGCGCCCUAGGGUAAAACUGGUGACUGGGGCUAAGUCGU